GAGCCUUUUUCGGCGCCGCUUUGGGAGCUGCCGCCACUUUCUUUCCCGGAGUUGUCCUAGUCGAAGUCCUGGAUGCCUUGGCAGGUCGCUCUUUAGGCUUAGGUCUAGUCGGAGUUGCCUUAGGUUUUGCAGCAGGCUUAGACUUAGCAGGCGCAGCUUUUGGCUUAGCAGCAGCUUUAGGUUUAGCAGCUGCCUUAGGCUUUGCCUUAGUCUUAGUAGCAGCAACAGCUGCAGCUGCCUUCUUCUUCGCAGGAGCACUGGCAGCUGCCUUAGUUGACUUGGCUUCCUUUGGUUUAGCUGCCGCAGCCUUAGGCUUGGCCUUGGCCUUGGUUUUGGUGGAUGCUUUGGCAG
rnacentral:lncRNA from 1 species